rnacentral:rRNA from 1 species
UUAUAAGAGACAGCAGCAGCCGCGGUAAUACGAAGGGUGCAAGCGUUAAUCGGAAUUACUGGGCGUAAAGCGCGCGUAGGUGGUUCAUUAAGUUGGAUGUGAAAGCCCUGGGCUCAACCUGGGAACUGCAUCCAAAACUGGUGAGCUAGAGUACGGUAGAGGGUAGUGGAAUUUCCUGUGUAGCGGUGAAAUGCGUAGAUAUAGGAAGGAACACCAGUGGCGAAGGCGACUACCUGGACUGAUACUGACACUGAGGUGCGAAAGCGUGGGGAGCAAACAGGAUUAGAUACCCCCGUAGUCCCUGUCUCUUAUAC